UACAGAGGUCUCAAGCGUUGUUCGGAUUCAUUGGGCGUAAAGGGUGCGUAGGUGGCGCGCUAAGUCAGGUGUGAAAUCUCGGGGCUUAACUCCGAAACUGCAUUUGAUACUGGCGUGCUUGAGGACUGGAGAGGAGACUGGAAUUCAUGGUGUAGCAGUGAAAUGCGUAGAGAUCAUGAGGAAGACCAGUGGCGAAGGCGGGUCUCUGGACAGUUCCUGACACUGAGGCGCGAAAGCCAGGGGAGCAAACGGG
rnacentral:rRNA from 1 species